ACCCGCUGGACUUAAGCAUAUCAAUAAGCGGAGGAAAAGAAACCAACUGGGAUUGCCUCAGUAACGGCGAGUGAAGCGGCAAAAGCUCAAAUUUGAAAUCUGCCAUCCGGCCGAGUUGUAAUUUACAGAGGAUGCUUUGGAUUCUGUCUGGUGUAAAGUCCUUUGGAACAGGGCGCCGUGGAGGAUGAAAGUUCCGUACGUAUCAGAUCCAGUUUCCAUGUAAAGCUCCUUCAAAGAGUCGAGUUGUUUGGGAAUGCAGCUCUAAGUGGGAGGUAAAUUUCUUCCAAAGCUAAAUACCGGCUAGAGACCGAUAGCGCACAAGUAGAGUGAUCGAAAGAUGAAAAGCACUUUGAAAAGAGAGUUAAAAAGCACGUGAAAUUGUUGAAAGGGAAGCUUAUGUCAUCAGACUUGAUGCUGAAGUUCAGCCUUUUGGUGUAUUCUUUGGUAUCAGGCUAGCAUCAAUUUGAACAGCUGGAUAAAAACUUCGGGAAUGUAGCUCUUCGGAGUGUUAUAGCCCGAUGCAGAAUGCGGCUUGUUCAGAUUGAGGUCCGCUUUUGAGGAUGCUGGCGUAAUGGUGGCAUGAGGCCCGUCUGAAAACACGGA
rnacentral:rRNA from 1 species